AAUCAACCGAGAUUCCCCCAGUAGCGGCGAGCGAACGGGGAGCAGCCCGGAGUCUGAAUCAGCUUGUGUGUUAGUGGAACGGUCUGGAAAGUCCGACGGUACAGGGUGAUAGUCCCGUACACGAAAACACACUUGCUGUGAACUCGAAGAGUAGGGCGGGACACGUGGUAUCCUGUCUGAAUAUGGGGGGACCAUCCUCCAAGGCUAAAUACUCCUGACUGACCGAUAGUGAACCAGUACCGUGAGGGAAAGGCGAAAAGAAC
rnacentral:rRNA from 1 species